rnacentral:rRNA from 1 species
CAGCAGCCGCGGGAAUACGUAGGUGGCAAGCGUUGUCCGGAAUUAUUGGGCGUAAAGGGCUCGCAGGCGGUUUCUUAAGUCUGAUGUGAAAGCCCCCGGCUCAACCGGGGAGGGUCAUUGGAAACUGGGAAACUUGAGUGCAGAAGAGGAGAGUGGAAUUCCACGUGUAGCGGUGAAAUGCGUAGAGAUGUGGAGGAACACCAGUGGCGAAGGCGACUCUCUGGUCUGUAACUGACGCUGAGGAGCGACAGCGUGGGGAGCGAACAGGAUUAGAUACCCCGGUAGUCCCUGUCUCUUAUAC